GCAGCGGCUGCCCCGUCAUUGUCCGGGCUCCCUGAGGGUGGGGAAGGGGCGCCCUGGGCUCAGGGGCCACCGCGGAACAACCGAGCGGACUGGGGAGGAAAGGGGCCUCCGAAGGCGGCUUUCCCUAGGAAGAACCCUGCCCAAGCACUUGGGUUGCAACCCGAAUCACCCGGGGAGAAGAAUCGUUGAACGGUCCAAGUCAGAAAUCCGGGAGGUCCAAGAAAACGGAGAGAGGAAAGAACACAAACUGUGGGGAUGUAUCUGAUUGCCAAAUCAUCUCAACCAGAAACUUGGCGAAGUUGUCCCAAAAGUCCACCUGUAAAAAGAUAUUUGAAUCCAGUAACUCCUGACAGACAUAUGUGGGUCUUGAUAUACAUGCAGGCUAAGGACCAUGUAUUCAGUAUAUGUUGUGCUGGAGACAGAUUUUGGCAAUGUGUAGUGAACAGCUGUGAAGGCUUCAAUGAAGGGAACUGAGAGCUCUUCACAAGCAUCAUCC